AUUGAACGCUGGCGGCAUGCCUUACACAUGCAAGUCGAACGGUAACGCGGGGCAACCUGGCGACGAGUGGCGAACGGGUGAGUAAUGCAUCGGAACGUGCCCAGUAGUGGGGGAUAGCCCGGCGAAAGCCGGAUUAAUACCGCAUACGACCUACGGGUGAAAGCGGGGGACCGUAAGGCCUCGCGCUAUUGGAGCGGCCGAUGUCAGAUUAGGUAGUUGGUGAGGUAAAGGCUCACCAAGCCGACGAUCUGUAGCUGGGCUGAGAGGACGACCAGCCACACUGGGACUGAGACACGGCCCAGACUCGUACGGGAGGCAGCAGUGGGGAAUUUUGGACAAUGGGCGCAAGCCUGAUCCAGCCAUGCCGCGUGCGGGAAGAAGGCCUUCGGGUUGUAAACCGCUUUUGUCAGGGAAGAAACGCUCUGGGCUAAUACCCCGGGGUAAUGACGGUACCUGAAGAAUAAGCACCGGCUAACUACGUGCCAGCCGCCGCGGUAAUAC
rnacentral:rRNA from 1 species